rnacentral:rRNA from 1 species
GAGUCGACCCCUAAGGCGAGGCCGAAAGGCGUAGUCGAUGGGAAACGGGUUAAUAUUCCCGUACUUGGUGUUACUGCGAAGGGGGGACGGAGAAGGCUAUGUUGGCCGGGCGACGGUUGUCCCGGUUUAAGCGUGUAGGUGUGUGUUCCAGGUAAAUCCGGUUCACUUUAACACUGAGGCGUGAUGACGAGGCACUACGGUGCUGAAGCAACAAAUGCCCUGCUUCCAGGAAAAGCCUCUAAGCAUCAGGUAACACGAAAUCGUACCCCAAACCGACACAGGUGGUCAGGUAGAGAAUACCAAGGCGCUUGAGAGAACUCGGGUGAAGGAACUAGGCAAAAUGGUGCCGUAACUUCGGGAGAAGGCACGCUGACACGUAGGUGAAGUGAUUUACUCAUGGAGCUGAAGUCAGUCGAAGAUACCAGCUGGCUGCAACUGUUUAUUAAAAACACAGCACUGUGCAAACACGAAAGUGGACGUAUACGGUGUGACGCCUGCCCGGUGCCGGAAGGUUAAUUGAUGGGGUCAGCGCAAGCGAAGCUCCUGAUCGAAGCCCCGGUAAACGGCGGCCGUAACUAUAACGGUCCUAAGGUAGCGAAAUUCCUUGUCGGGUAAGUUCCGACCUGCACGAAUGGCGUAAUGAUGGCCAGGCUGUCUCCACCCGAGACUCAGUGAAAUUGAACUCGCUGUGAAGAUGCAGUGUACCCGCGGCAAGACGGAAAGACCCCGUGAACCUUUACUAUAGCUUGACACUGAACAUUGAGCCUUGAUGUGUAGGAUAGGUGGGAGGCUUUGAAGUGUGGACGCCAGUCUGCAUGGAGCCGACCUUGAAAUACCACCCUUUAAUGUUUGAUGUUCUAACGUGGACCCGUUACCCGGGUUGCGGACAGUGUCUGGUGGGUAGUUUGACUGGGGCGGUCUCCUCCUAAAGAGUAACGGAGGAGCACGAAGGUUGGCUAAUCCUGGUCGGACAUCAGGAGGUUAGUGCAAUGGCAUAAGCCAGCUUGACUGCGAGCGUGACGGCGCGAGCAGGUGCGAAAGCAGGUCAUAGUGAUCCGGUGGUUCUGAAUGGAAGGGCCAUCGCUCAACGGAUAAAAGGUACUCCGGGGAUAACAGGCUGAUACCGCCCAAGAGUUCAUAUCGACGGCGGUGUUUGGCACCUCGAUGUCGGCUCAUCACAUCCUGGGGCUGAAGUAGGUCCCAAGGGUAUGGCUGUUCGCCAUUUAAAGUGGUACGCGAGCUGGGUUUAGAACGUCGUGAGACAGUUCGGUCCCUAUCUGCCGUGGGCGCUGGAGAACUGAGGGGGGCUGCUCCUAGUACGAGAGGACCGGAGUGGACGCAUCACUGGUGUUCGGGUUGUCAUGCCAAUGGCACUGCCCGGUAGCUAAAUGCGGAAGAGAUAAGUGCUGAAAGCAUCUAAGCACGAAACUUGCCCCGA